AGCUUUGCGCAGUGGCAGCAUCAUAGCCAAUGAGGUUUAUCCGAGGCGUGAUUAUUGCUAAUUGAUCCCUAAGUCAAAUGAGUACUUCUCUACCAUUUUAAACUAUGCCUCCUUUUCUUACAUAUAAAAAACCUAUAUUCUCCUUUGAUAUUAUUUGGCAUUUCUGGUAACAAUAGCAGCUU
ensembl:snRNA U4 U4 spliceosomal RNA